UACGUAGGGGGCAAGCGUUGUCCGGAAUUACUGGGCGUAAAGCGCACGCAGGUGGCUGAGUCAGUCGAUUGUGAAAGCCCUGGGCUUAACCUGGGAAUUGCAGUCGAUACUACUCGGCUCGAGUAUGGGAGAGGGCAGUGGAAUUCCCGGUGUAGCGGUGAAAUGCGUAGAUUAUCGGGAGGAACAUCAGUGGCGAAAGGCGGCU
rnacentral:rRNA from 1 species